GCAUAUCAAUAAGCGGAGGAAAAGAAACCAACAGGGAUUGCCCUAGUAACGGCGAAGUGAAGCGGCAACAGCUCAAAUUUGAAAUCUGGCUUUCGGGCCCGAGUUGUAAUUUGUAGAGGAUGAUUUUGAUGCGGUGCCUUCCGAGUUCCCUGGAACGGGACGCCAUAGAGGGUGAGAGCCCCGUCUGGUUGGAUGCCAAAUCUCUGUAAAUCUCCUUCGACGAGUCGAGUAGUUUGGGAAUGCUGCUCUAAAUGGGAGGUAUAUGUCUUCUAAAGCUAAAUACCGGCCAGAGACCGAUAGCGCACAAGUAGAGUGAUCGAAAGAUGAAAAGCACUUUGAAAAGAGAGUUAAAAAGUACGUGAAAUUGUUGAAAGGGAAGCGUUUAUGACCAGACUUGGGCUUGGUUAAUCAUCUGGGGUUCUCUCCAGUGCACUUUUCCAGUCCAGGCCAGCAUCAGUUUUCGCCGGGGGAUAAAGGCUUCGGGAAUGUGGCUCCCCUCGGGGAGUGUUAUAGCCCGUUGUGUAAUACCCUGGUGGGGACUGAGGUUCGCGCUUCUGCAAGGAUGCUGGCGUAAUGGUCAUCAACGACCCGUCUUGAAACACGGACCAAGGAGUCGUCUUCGUAUGCGAGUGUUCGGGUGUCAAACCCCUACGCGUAAUGAAAGUGAACGCAGGUGAGAGCUUCGGCGCAUCAUCGACCGAUCCUGAUGUUCUCGGAUGGAUUUGAGUAAGAGCAUACGGGGCCGGACCCGAAAGAAGGUGAACUAUGCCUGUGUAGGGUGAAGCCAGAGGAAACUCUGGUGGAGGCUCGCAGCGGUUCUGACGUGCAAAUCGAUCGUCAAACAUGGGCAUGGGGGCGAAAGACUAAUCGAACCUUCUAGUAGCUGGUUUCCGCGA
rnacentral:rRNA from 1 species